AUAACUUCUCUAGUUUCUUAUCUCAUGUUGCAGAUGGGCGUGGCUAUCCACUAAAGGCCAAGACAAAAGUGUGUCCUAUUUGCAGAGGUUACAAUUCCUCCGUUCACAUCAACAUGCAGUACUUGUAAAGGGUCAGGCCAAAUAAUCAAGGAACAUUGUAUGUCAUGUGGAGGAUUAGGGAUAGUUGAAGGUGCAAGAGAGGUUGAAGUUACCAUCCCAGCAGCUGUGGAUUCUGGAGAUACAAUCCGCGUACCAAAGGCUGGGAAUAGUGGGCCACGGGGAAGUCAGCCAG